rnacentral:rRNA from 1 species
AGUGAACGCUGGCGGUAGGCCUAACACAUGCAAGUCGAACGGCAGCACAGUAAGAGCUUGCUCUUACGGGUGGCGAGUGGCGGACGGGUGAGGAAUACAUCGGAAUCUACUUUUUCGUGGGGGAUAACGUAGGGAAACUUACGCUAAUACCGCAUACGACCUACGGGUGAAAGCAGGGGAUCUUCGGACCUUGCGCGAUUGAAUGAGCCGAUGUCGGAUUAGCUAGUUGGCGGGGUAAAGGCCCACCAAGGCGACGAUCCGUAGCUGGUCUGAGAGGAUGAUCAGACACACUGGAACUGAGACACGGUCCAGACUCCUACGGGAGGCAGCAGUGGGGAAUAUUGGACAAUGGGCGAAAGCCUGAUACAGCAAUACCGCGUGGGUGAAGAAGGCCUUCGGGUUGUAAAGCCCUUUUGUUGGGAAAGAAAAGCAGCAGGUUAAUACCCCGCUGUUCUGACGGUACCCAAAGAAUAAGCACCGGCUAACUUCGUG